UUUAUUAAAGUUAUUCAUUAAAUUCACACAUGCGAAGUAAAAAUAAUAUUUGUGCAUUAUUAUUGGUCAAAGCAUUUUUUUUUCUCCUCACAAAACAGUACCGAAAAAAUAGCCAUGAUUAUUUCACUCUCAAAUGCAACCUGAUGAAAUGAAGAAGACCAAGAUCUCUUAUUUGGAGGGAAGGGCGUGAUCUCAGCUUUGUGAACGACUGCGCUAAACAUGCAUACAUGGUCUAGUAGGCACAGGACCUGAAAUUUUAGGGCAGUGGGCAUAAUCGAUAUGAUCGAACCCAUGCUAAAGUGGUACGUAUUUUAUCAACUCCGAAAGGAUGAAAGUCGACCUCGGCGGAAUUUGAACUCAAAAAGUAAAA
rnacentral:lncRNA from 1 species